rnacentral:rRNA from 1 species
GACAUUAGACGAAUCAUCUGGAAAGAUGAAUCAAAGAAGGUAAUAAUCCUGUAGUCGAAAAUGUUGUCUCUCUUGAGUGGAUCCUGAGUACGACGGAGCACGUGAAAUUCCGUCGGAAUCUGGGAGGACCAUCUCCUAAGGCUAAAUACUCUCUAGUGACCGAUAGUGAACCAGUACCGUGAGGGAAAGGUGAAAAGCACCCCGGAAGGGGAGUGAAAUAGAACCUGAAACCGUGUGCUUACAAGUAGUCAGAGCCCGUUAAUGGGUGAUGGCGUGCCUUUUGUAGAAUGAACCGGCGAGUUACGAUUUGAUGCAAGGUUAAGCAGUAAAUGUGGAGCCGUAGCGAAAGCGAGUCUGAAUAGGGCGUUUAGUAUUUGGUCGUAGACCCGAAACCAGGUGAUCUACCCUUGGUCAGGUUGAAGUUCAGGUAACACUGAAUGGAGGACCGAACCGACUUACGUUGAAAAGUGAGCGGAUGAACUGAGGGUAGCGGAGAAAUUCCAAUCGAACCUGGAGAUAGCUGGUUCUCUCCGAAAUAGCUUUAGGGCUAGCCUCAAGUGAUGAUUAUUGGAGGUAGAGCACUGUUUGGACGAGGGGCCCCUCUCGGGUUACCGAAUUCAGACAAACUCCGAAUGCCAAUUAAUUUAACUUGGGAGUCAGAACAUGGGUGAUAAGGUCCGUGUUCGAAAGGGAAACAGCCCAGACCACCAGCUAAGGUCCCAAAAUAUAUGUUAAGUGGAAAAGGAUGUGGCGUUGCCCAGACAACUAGGAUGUUGGCUUAGAAGCAGCCAUCAUUUAAAGAG